UACGGAGGGUGCAAGCGUUGUUCGGAAUCAUUGGGCGUAAAGCGCGUGUAGGCGGCUUGGCAAGUCGGGUGUGAAAUCCCGGGGCCCAACCCCGGAACUGCAUUCGAAACUGCCUCGCUAGAGUCCCGGAGAGGAAGGCGGAAUUCCCGGUGUAGAGGUGAAAUUCGUAGAUAUCGGGAGGAACACCAGCGGCGAAGGCGGCCUUCUGGACGGUGACUGACGCUGAGACGCGAAAGCGUGGGGAGCAAACAGG
rnacentral:rRNA from 1 species